CAAAUACUCCCUUCGUUUGGAAAUACUUGUCAUCAAAAUGGAUAAAAGGAAAUGUAUCUAGACGUAUUUUAGUUUUAGAUACAUCUCUUUUUAUCCAUUUUGAUGACAAGUAUUUUCGGACGGAGGGAGUAGAAA
rfam:Triticum aestivum genome assembly, contig: Triticum_aestivum_CS42_TGACv1_scaffold_222628_3B